AUGGGGAUAGAUAGAUAGAUAGAGGAGGUGGAUGGAGAUAGAUAGAUGGGGUGGAUGGGGAUAGAUAGAUAGAUAGAGGGGGUGGAUGGGGAUAGAUAGAUAGAUAGAGGGGGUGGAUGGAGAUAGAUAGAUGGGGUGGAUGGGGAUAGAUAGAUAGAUAGAGGGGGUGGAUGGGGAUAGAUAGAUAGAUAGAGGGGGUGGAUGGGGAUAGAUAGAUAGAUAGAGGGAUAGAUAGAUAGAUAGAUAGAUAGAUAGAUAGAUAGAUAGAUAGAUAGAUAGAGGGGGUAGACGGGGAUAGAUAGAUAGAUAGAUAGAUAGAUAGAUAGAUAGAUAGAUAGAUAGA